UACGGAGGAUCCAAGCGUUAUCCGGAAUCAUUGGGUUUAAAGGGUCCGUAGGUGGGCCGUUAAGUCAGAGGUGAAAUCCUGCAGCUCAACUGUAGAAUUGCCUUUGAUACUGGCGGGCUUGAAUUACUGUGAAGUGGUUAGAAUAUGUGGUGUCGCGGUGAAAUGCGUAGAUAUCACAUAGAAUACCGAUUGCGAAGGCAGAUCACUAACAGUACAUUGACACUGAUGGACGAACGCGUGGGGAGCGAACAGG
rnacentral:rRNA from 1 species